GAAAUUAAGAGUAUAUGGCGGAUGCCUAGACUAAAAAAGGCGAUGAAAGACGUAGCAUGGCGGCGAUACGUUUCGGGGAGGUGCCUAGCAACCUUUGAUCCGGAAAUUUCUGAAUGGGGAAACCCCUCUAAGUAACCCUUAGAGACACUUGCGCUUGACGUAAGUGAGCAUACCAAGGGAAGUAAAACAUUUCAGUACCUUGAGGAAAAGAGAAAAAUAUUUAUUUUCUGAGUAGCGGCGAGCGAAAAGGAAAGAGCCCAAACCCGCACACUUACUUUGCCAUUGUUUUUUUUGUUCUGUUUUAAUUGUAUUACUAAAAAUAAUAUUGUUAAUUUAGAAUAAUAAAAUAAUGAAAUUUUGUUUUGAAAAAACAGAACGAUGGUAAAGUAAGUGUGCGGGGGUUGUAAGGUGACAAUGUAGAUUUAUCUAGAGAAGUUACAAAGUAUGUUAUUAGAUUAAACUUCUGGAAAGGAGUGCCGUAGACGGUGAUAGCCCGGUGAUCGAAAAUUUCAUACCUUCUUGAUUGUCAUUCUUGAGUAACUCAAGACAUGAAUAGCUUGAGCGAAUCCACCAGAACUAACUGGUAAGGCUAAAUACUUUUUUAGAUCGAUAGUGAACUAGUACCGUGAGGGAAAGGUGAAAAGAACCCCGAUGAGGGGAGUGAAAUAGACCUGAAACCAUAUACUUACAAGGAGUCGGAGCGGACGUAUUUAUACGAUCCGUCACGGCGUGCCUAUUGAAGAAUGAGCCAACGAGUUUAUCUAUGCUGCAGGCUAAGCUGUUAGAACAGUGGAGCCUUAGGGAAACCGAGUGUUAAUAGCGCGAACAAUUAAUGUAGUCUAGAUAAGACCCGAAGCGAGGUGAGCUUGCCAUGAGCAGGAUGAAGUUUGUCGAAAGAUAGAUGGAGGUCCGAACCGGUGACCCGUGCAAUAGUCUCGGAUGACUUGUGGUAAGGAGUGAAAAGCUAAUCGAACCUCGUAAUAGCUGGUUCUCUCCGAAAUAGCUUUAGGGCUAGCGUUGUGUGUUCCUCUUGGGGGUAGAGCACUGGAAGAUUUCGACAGGGAGCAAUCUCGCGACAUCUAUCAAACUCCGAAUACCAAGAGCUAAAAGCACAGCAGUUAGGCUAUGGGGGCGAAGCUCCAUCAGCCAAAAGGGAAACAGCCCAGAUCUCUAAUUAAGGUCCCUAAAUAUAUACUAAGUGCGUAUGAAGGAGGUGAAAUUUCUCUGACAGUGAGGAUGUUGGCUUAGAAGCAGCCAUCAUUUAAAGAAAGCGUAACAGCUCACUCACUAAGAGAUUUCGCACCGAAAAUAAUCGGGGCUAAGUAUAUUACCGAAAUUGAGGGCUUCCAAUUUUUUAAAAUCGGGAGCGGUAGGAGAGUAUUCCACUCAGCGUCGAAGCCAAAGAGGUGACUCAUGGUGGAGCGUGUGGAAGUAAGAAUGUUGGCACAAGUAACCGCAAGGUAGGUGAGAUCCCUACCCGCCGAAAGAUCAAGGUUUCCUGGGCAAUGAUUAUCAUCCCAGGGUUAGUCGGUCCUAAGGGGAUGGCGAAAGCCGCACCCGAUGGGCACAUGGUUAAUAUUCCAUGACUUCUGUUGUAUCCGAUGAUAGGACGGAGUGUAGUAUAUAAAGCUCAUUAUUGGAUUUGAGUAUGUUAGUAAGGAUGUCUCUUAGGAAAAUCCGGGAGAUGACGUAAAAGUAACAUCCAAGCAAAACUUAAAUAUAGGGGUUCGCCUCUGUAGAUUUUAUAAAGCACGCUUCCAAGAAAAGUAUCUAAGGUUAAUGCAAUAGAAUCCGUACCGCAAACCGACACAGGUGAUCAGGUCGAGUAGACCAAGGCGAACGAGUGAGAGGUCUUCAAGGAACUCGGCAAAAAAGCAGCCGUAACUUUGGAAUAAGGCUUGCCAUUCUUAAUUUAUUAAGUUUGGCCGCAGCGAAAGUAUCUCUGGCAACUGUUUAUCAAAAACACAGCUCCCUGCGAACUCGCAAGAGGAUGUAUAGGGGGUGACACCUGACCAAUGCCAGAAGGUCAAAUAUCGGUGGUGCAUGGUCGCAAGAUUGUGUGCUGGCUGAUAUAAGCCCUGGUGAAUGUCGGCCGUAACUAUAACGGUCCUAAGGUAGCGAAGUACCUUGUCGGGUAAGUUCCGACGCGCACGAAUGGUGUAAUGACUGGAGAACUGUCUCGAAGACCUGCUCGGUGAAAAUUCUAAUCUCUAAGGCAAAAACUUAGAGAGACAGUAUCUGGUGGGUAGUUUUACUGGGGCGGUAUCCUCCUAAAGAGUAACGGAGGAGUUUAUUAAGGUUAGCUAGGCGCGAAUGGAAACCGUGCCGAUAGUGUAAUGGCACAAGCUAGCUUAACUGUAAGACGUACAUGUCGAGCAGAUACGAAAGUAGAACAUAGUGAACCGACAUUUCGCAUUAGAUGCGGAUGAAGAUUAACGGAUAAAAGCUACUCUAGGGAUAACAGGCUA
rnacentral:rRNA from 1 species